CUUCGAUUAGCUUUUACCCAAACGAUCAUUUUCAUCGUCUUCAGACGGAGUAGGAAAUAUAGCAUUGCGCCCAACUCCAAUGGGGUUCGUUGUGCUCGACUGUGGCCACCACGAUCGUCCAAAGAAAAGCCGCCCAUUCACAUUCGACGAACCUCUCCCGCUCCCCGACAGCGGUAGUUUGUUUGAUGUGUUGAUUGUGCACCAAACGUGCCAGUCUGUUCACAGCGUCAAUCGUAG